AAAAACAUGAGAUAAGUUUAAUAAAAGAUUAUGCUAUGAUUAUGACAUAUUUGCAAAGAUAUUAAGGUUUAUCACUUAUAAGAUAAACCAAUUUAAUGAAAGAGAUUUGAUUAAUAUAUUUAUUUUCUUUAAAUGACAUAUUUUAUCAUUCGGAUCCGCAUCUCGCUUCCGGCUUAUAAACAUCACGUGACUUCAGCCUCACAGUUGAACUAGCCGCUCUGGAUAAGUGAAAGUUUCAAAACCCACCCAUCUCCCCUCACACUCUACCAACAAUUACUUGUGUCUGCUGCUGUUUUAUUCAUUUUUCAGGCUGUUCAGAGAGAAGCCUGAUACGUAAUACAUUGUUGGACAAAAUAAAGAUGUCUAGACUAAGUCGAUGGAAUUUUUUGCUGAACAAACUUUUGAGAGCUAUCGUAUUCUAAAUAUUCGAGUGAGUGUUAUACAGUUUUACCAGGACAAUCAGCCACCAGCAAUGCGAUUGGAACAAUCAGUAUGAUUUUAGUUUAUCCACAUGGAACACAUAUAGAACUUUAAAUUUUUGUUAUGAACUUUCAGAGUUUAUAUCUCCAAUAAUAGUAUAAUUGUUCAUUAUAUGGUAAUAAAAUAUUUUGUCACAGUAAAAGGUUGUUUGGCGGGGUCUGGCAAGAUUAAGGGGUCAUGAUCCGUUCCUGUAUUGUACGUCGGAUCAUAUUAGUUUUUUACUUUCCUGCGUUACCGCAGGAAGUUCUGUUGAGACCAUCUCAUGUCUACCCUGAGUGGCCGGUUCUGAAUUGGUGCCAGUUCGAGCUUAACUGUUUUAUGAUCUAGAAAUUGUUAAAUUGUUAAUCUUUACUCCCCUGAAACCAGGGGGUGAUGCGAAUAAGACCCGACGUAUUUGGGGAUCAUGGCCCUCGUUCUCUUUAGGAUUUAACCUAGAGGAACUUGAGCAUCCAUUGCUACCAAUGGUGCACAGAUUUGUCAGUUAAAUCAAUCAUGUCGGCAUUCUGUUAUCAUGUCAGACCUCGUCAUUCAAAGUGAACUGUGGCCGUUAAUUCCACAUAAAUUGCUUGUUUGUUAUGCUUUGCCUUAAACUUGAUUCUUUAAUUAAUCAUUCAGAUAUAUCAAUCUUUAUUUCUACUUUUGAUUGCAGUUGUUUAUUUUCAUUUUACGCGUCAUUGUACACAUUUCAAACUAUUGCCUUUAAAUUCAUUAAACGCUAUACUACUGCACAGUACUCAUCAAAAUUAACUUUCUGAAAAAGUUUUAUAAGAAUAUUCAUCACGUACUUAUAUAAAGAUGACAAU
rnacentral:lncRNA from 1 species